rnacentral:rRNA from 1 species
CCUACGGGUGGCAGCAGUCGAGAAUCAUUCACAAUGGGGGAAACCCUGAUGGUGCGACGCCGCGUGGGGGAAUGAAGGUCUUCGGAUUGUAAACCCCUGUCGUGUGGGAGCAAAGUAAAAAGCUCGUACCACAAGAGGAGGAGACGACUAACUCUGUGCCAGCAGCCGCGGUAAUUCAGAGGUCUCAAGCGUUGUUCGGAAUUCCUGGGCGUAAAGCGUUCGUGGGCUGUUUCGUAAGUCGUGUGUGAAAGGCGCGGGCUCAACCCGCGGACGGCACAUGAUACUGCGAGACUAGAGUAAGGGAGAGGGAACCGGAAUUCUCGGUGUAGCAGUGAAAUGCGUAGAUAUCGAGAGGAACACCCGUGGCGAAGGCGGGUGCCUGGACAUUAACUGACGCUGAGGCACGAAGGCCAGGGGAGCGAAAGGGAUUAGAUACCCCUGUAGUC